rnacentral:snRNA from 1 species
GUGCUCACUUUGGCAGCACAGAUACUAAAAUUGGAAUGAUAUAGAGAAGAUUAGCAUGCACCCUGCUCAAGGAUGACACACAAAUUCAUGAAGCAUUCCACAUUUUA